rnacentral:rRNA from 1 species
UGCGUAGGUGGUUUCUUAAGUCAGAGGUGAAAGGCUACGGCUCAACCGUAGUAAGCCUUUGAAACUGGGAAACUUGAGUGCAGGAGAGGAGAGUGGAAUUCCUAGUGUAGCGGUGAAAUGCGUAGAUAUUAGGAGGAACACCAGUUGCGAAGGCGGCUCUCUGGACUGUAACUGCACUGAGGCGCGAAAGCGUGGGGAGCAAACA